AACGAACGCUGGUGGCAGGCUUAACACAUGCAAGUCGAGCGCCCCGCAAGGGGAGCGGCAGACGGGUGAGUAACGCGUGGGAAUCUACCCAUCCCUACGGAAUAGCUCCGGGAAACUGGAAUUAAUACCGUAUACGCCCUACGGGGGAAAGAUUUAUCGGGGAUGGAUGAGCCCGCGUUGGAUUAGCUAGUUGGUGGGGUAAAAGCCUACCAAGGCGACGAUCCAUAGCUGGUCUGAGAGGAUGAUCAGCCACAUUGGGACUGAGACACGGCCCAAACUCCUACGGGAGGCAGCAGUGGGGAAUAUUGGACAAUGGGGGCAGCCCUGAUCCAGCCAUGCCGCGUGAGUGAUGAAGGCCUUAGGGUUGUAAAGCUCUUUCACCGGGGAAGAUAAUGACGGUACCCGGAGAAGAAGCCCCGGCUAACUUCGUGCCAGCAGCCGCCGUAA
rnacentral:rRNA from 1 species